UACGUAGGGCGCAAGCGUUGUCCGGAAUUAUUGGGCGUAAAGAGCUCGUAGGCGGCCUGUUGCGUCCGCUGUGAAAUGCCGGGGCUCAACCCCGGGACUGCGUCCGAUACUUCCGAGCUGGAGGUAGGUAGGGGAGAUCGGAAUUCCUGGUGUAGCGGUGAAAUGCGCAGAUAUCAGGAGGAACACCGGUGGCGAAGGCGGAUCUCUGGGCCUUACCUGACGCUGAGGCGCGAAAGCUAGGGGAGCGAACAGG
rnacentral:rRNA from 1 species